UUUUUUCUUUUCUUCCUAUUUUUGUGAUUGGUUUGACUGUUCAAGUACGCUAGAAAAACUUUGCCAUUAUAUACUAGAGUUCAAAAAAAUAAUUGGCGUUACACUCAUUUUUAUCUUAAAUCCGAGUCUACUACACUAAUAGACAUUUUGCUAUAUGAAAAAAAAAAGAAAAGAAAAGAAAGUCACGAGCCAAUAAUGAUGCGAUGAACCGACAACGUGUCAGCCUCGAGAGCAUUAUAGAGAGAAACAAAGGGCCAUUGCGGAAAGCUUUCUCUUUACUUAGGGAUUGUCAAAUACACAUAUACACACAUGAGAUCAUUGCCCC
rnacentral:lncRNA from 1 species